CAAGGGUUGUUUUUUACUUGAGUUGAAUAUAGUGGUUUUCUAUUCACAUUGACAGAUAUUAAAAUCAGCAAAAUCCACUUUUUUAUUCAAGAAGAUCAAAAUGACUGCAAAUAUUAGAACCUCUGAACUCAUAACAUUCACGUUAUCGUAGAAUAAUCUGAUCACAUUUUGCAUGAGUAUCCUCUUUUGCUCAAUGUUCAAAGUCCUGUUGCUUUCUUUUCAAGCUAAUGAAGUAGCAUUAUGUGAUUUUUACUUGCAGCAGGUUGGACUUUUCAAUGGAUGAGGAGGACGUUUUUGCAGUUGCUGAUUUGGAGUCAUCAAAUGAAAUGGACGAUCCAGGAGUUUUUGUCUGAGGAGGGAUGGAAAUGCCCUGAAUGCAUCCAUCACCAGCUACUUCAUCAGUCGCUUGGUAGCAAGUUAUCUUUCACUGCUUAUUCAGAGGAGAUUUCUUAAAACGAAAACAAUCUGUUAAAAAACAAACACCUGCGGUUUCUGUUAUUAUGAGUUUGUUUAAACUGCUGCACUUCAGGUUUGAGGGCAAUACACUUCAAAACACACCAGAAUUAUGUGCUGAUAUGUCAUCUGUGUGCGAGUGUGUUGAUUGAUUUUUGUCAUCAAAUGGCUUUGUGAAGGUUAAAAUGUGGGUUUAAGGUUAACGUUUGACUUUGGUUCCUGGUUGGAAAUAAGUUUAUGUAAAAGGGUUAAG